UGGGCCAUUGGAAGGUGGUAGACACCUCUGU
rnacentral:piRNA from 1 species